rnacentral:rRNA from 1 species
AGAGUUUGAUCCUGGUUCAAAUUGAACGCUGGGGGCUUGCCUUACACAUGCAAGUCGAACGGCAGCUUGUUUUAGCUUGCUAGAUUGAUGGGGAGGGGCGAAGGGGGGAGUAAUACAUCGGAACGGGCCCGGUGGGGGGGGAUAACUAGUCGAAAGAUUAGCUAAUACCGCAUACAACCUGAGGGUGAAAGUGGGGGACCGCAAGGCCUCAUGCUAUAGGAGCGGCCGAUGUCUGAUUAGCUAGUUGGUGGGGUAAAGGCCCACCAAGGCGACGAUCAGUAGCUGGUCUGAGAGGACGAUCAGCCACACUGGGACUGAGACACGGCCCAGACUCCUACGGGAGGCAGCAGUGGGGAAUUUUGGACAAUGGGGGCAACCCUGAUCCAGCUAUGCCGCGUGUGUGAAGAAGGCCUUCGGGUUGUAAAGCACUUUUGUCCGGAAAGAAAUCGCACUUACUAAUAUUAGGUGUGGAUGACGGUACCGGAAGAAUAAGGACCGGCUAACUACGUGCCAGCAGCCGCGGUAAUACGUAGGGUCCACGCGUUUAUCGGAAUUACUGGGCGUAAAGCGUGCGCAGGCGGUUGUGUAAGACCGAUGUGAAAUCCCCGGGCUUAACCUGGGAAUUGCAUUGGUGACUGCACGGCUAGAGUGUGUCAGAGGGGGGUAGAAUUCCCCCGUGUAGCAGUGAAAUGCGUAGAGAUGUGGAGGAAUACCGAUGGCGAAGGCAGCCCCCUGGGGAUAACACUGACGCUCAUGCACGAAAGCGUGGGGGACCACCAGUAUUAUAU